rnacentral:rRNA from 1 species
CGGGUGUGUAAGCGCAGCGAUGCGUUGAGCUAACCGGUACUAAUGAACCGUGAGGCUUAACCGUACAACGCCGAAGGUGUUU